rnacentral:rRNA from 1 species
CACCGCGGUUAUACGAGAGACCCAAGUCGAUGGCCUGCGGCGUAAAGAGUGGUUAAGGCACCCCUGCACUAAAGCUGAACAGCCUCAUAGCUGUUAUACGCGCAUGAGGACAUGAAACCCAAUCACGAAAGUAGCUUUAAGCCCCCUGACUCCACGAAAGCUAUGGCA